rnacentral:rRNA from 1 species
GACGAACGCUGGCGGCGUGCCUAAUACAUGCAAGUCGAGCGAAGUUUUUCUGGUGCUUGCACUAGAAAAACUUAGCGGCGAACGGGUGAGUAACACGUAAAGAACCUGCCUCAUAGACUGGGACAACUAUUGGAAACGAUAGCUAAUACCGGAUAACAGCAUUAACUGCAUGGUUGAUGUUUGAAAGUUGGUUAUGCUAACACUAUGAGAUGGCUUUGCGGUGCAUUAGCUAGUUGGUGGGGUAAAGGCCCACCAAGGCGACGAUGCAUAGCCGACCUGAGAGGGUGAUCGGCCACACUGGGACUGAGACACGGCCCAGACUCCUACGGGAGGCAGCAGUAGGGAAUCUUCCGCAAUGGGCGAAAGCCUGACGGAGCAACGCCGCGUGAGUGAAGAAGGAUCUCGGUUCGUAUAGCUCUGUCGUUAGGGAAGAAUGGAUAUGUAGUAACUAUACAUGUACGAGACGGUACCUAACCAGAAAGCCACGG